UCCUGUGUGAGAUACGUGUCGACCCGGGAUCCCGCUAAGACCCGGGAUCUCGUUAAUAAAGCUACCUCCUGCUGUUACAUCAAGACAGCUACUCGUGAUUCCUGGGGGCACCCCAUCCCACGAUUGGAGCAAGAGACGUGGCUCCCCGUUUAGGGCCCAGACCUGGAUCUCACCCGGAUCAGGUCCCCUCCAUCGUGAUAUGGGAGAACCUCGCCUCCGACCCUCCCCCAUGGCUGAAGCCCUGGUCCCGGGCAUCCCCAUCCCCGUCCUCACACAUACUGGUAGCCCAGGAGCUGCAGACGGAGAAGAAGACGACUCCUCGAAUUUAUCCUGACAUCGAAGGUCUUCCAGAUGAAGAUGAACCCACACCUGAACCCACACCGUGGGCGCCCAGUCCUCCCCCACCCCCUUAUCAACAUAACAAAUCUGAGGGCCCCACGGCCGGUACUAGAAGCCGGUGUAAAACAAAUAUAGUGAUUAAAAAAAAAAAACCAA
rnacentral:lncRNA from 1 species